AAUGACGCUCGAGCAGGCAGGCAUACACAUGCAAGUCGAACGGUAACAGGAAGCAGCUUGCUGCUUCGCUGACGAGUGGCGGACGGGUGAGUAAUGUCUGGGAAACUGCCUGAUGGAGGGGGAUAACUACUGGAAACGGUGGCUAAUACCGCAUAACGUCGCAAAGACCCAAAGAGGGGGACCUUCGGGCCCUCUUGCCAUCAGAUGUGCCCAGAUGGGAUUAGCUUGUUGGUGAGGUAACGGCUCACCAAGGCGACGAUCCCUAGCUGGUCUGAGAGGAUGACCAGCCACACUGGAACUGAGACACGGUCCAGACUCCUACGGGAGGCAGCAGUGGGGAAUAUUGCACAAUGGGCGCAAGCCUGAUGCAGCCAUGCCGCGUGUAUGAAGAAGGCCUUCGGGUUGUAAAGUACUUUCAGCGGGGAGGAAGGUGUUGUGGUUAAUAACCGCAGCAAUUGACGUUACCCGCAGAAGAAGCACCGGCUAACUCCGUGCCAGCAGCCGCGGUAAUACGGAGGGUGCAAGCGUUAAUCGGAAUUACUGGGCGUAAAGCGCACGCAGGCGGUCUGUCAAGUCGGAUGUGAAUCCCCGGGCUCACCUGGGAACUGCAUUCGAAACUGGCAGGCUUGAGUCUUGUAGAGGGGGGUAGAAUUCCAGGUGUAGCGGUGAAAUGCGUAGAGAUCUGGAGGAAUACCNGGUGCGAAGGCGGCCCCCUGGACAAAGACUGACCCUCAGGUGCGAAAGCGUGGGGACCAACAGAUUGAUCUGUUUGAAAAAAAAAA
rnacentral:rRNA from 1 species